UACGGAGGGUGCGAGCGUUAAUCGGAAUCACUGGGCGUAAAGCGCGCGUAGGCGGCUUUUCAAGUCAGGGGUGAAAUCCCACGGCCCAACCGUGGAACUGCCUUUGAAACUGUAGAGCUUGAGUGUCGGAGAGGGUGGCGGAAUUCCAGGUGUAGGAGUGAAAUCCGUAGAUAUCUGGAGGAACACCGGUGGCGAAGGCGGCCACCUGGACGACAACUGACGCUGAGGUGCGAAAGUGUGGGUAGCAAACAGG
rnacentral:rRNA from 1 species